rnacentral:rRNA from 1 species
GACGAACGCUGGCGGCGUGCCUAAUACAUGCAAGUAGAACGCUGAAGGAGGAGCUUGCUCUUCUGGAUGAGUUGCGCACGGGUGAGUAACGCGUACGUAACCUGCCUGGUAGCGGGGGAUAACUAUUGGAAACGAUAGCUAAUACCGCAUAACAGUAGAUGCUGCAUGACAUUUGCUUCAAAGGUGCAAUUUUUUCUCUACCAGUUGGACCUGCGUUGUUUUAGCCAGUUGGUGGGGUAACGGCUCAUCAUGGCGACGACAGAUAGCCGACCUGAGAGAGUAAUCGGCUGCACUGUGACUGCGACACGGCUCAUGACCCUACGGGAAGCAGCAGGAGGGAAUUUUUGGCUAGGGAUGGAAGGCUGAACGUGCAAAGCCGCGAGAGUGAAGAAGGAUUUCUGGUCGUAAAGCUGUGUUGUUAGAGGAGAACGAGUGUGAGAAUGGAAUGUUCACACUGUGACGGUAUCUUAGCAGAGAGGGACGGCUAACUACGUG